UAGUUUUAUUACAGUCUCUUCAUUUGCAGAAUCUUUUAACUAAAAUAUAAUAUUGUAGUUAUAAAAUCUUCAUUAAUUAUGAUAUAAUAGGAAGUGUUUGCUAGUGCACUGUACAAUCCUAAUUACAACAUCACAGUUAAUAUACAGGAGCUAAAUGCCACAGCUACUAAAGGUGCAGGUCUUGGCAUUGUCUCACUCGCAUAGAAGCUCACAACACCAAGAGGGAUAUCAGCGACUGGGGCGCAAACUAACUGCUGUGGUCUCUGGCGUGUGUGGCAGAAUGACCAGUGCUGUGGAACACUCUGCUCCUCAGCAUAAUGCUGAGCCAGGGCCAAUUACAGCCACAGCACACGCGCAUUACACAUUUGAAACGAGCCGAAUGAGAAAAUAAAUUGUAUUAUUAUUA